CUUGCGCUAAUAGAUGAGCCUAAGUCGGAUUAGCUAGUUGGUGGGGUAAAGGCCUACCAAGGCGACGAUCUGUAGCGGGUCUGAGAGGAUGAUCCGCCACACUGGGACUGAGACACGGCCCAGACUCCUACGGGAGGCAGCAGUGGGGAAUAUUGGACAAUGGGGGGAACCCUGAUCCAGCCAUGCCGCGUGUGUGAAGAAGGCCUUUUGGUUGUAAAGCACUUUAAGCGAGGAGGAGGCUUACCUGGUUAAUACCUGGGAUAAGUGGACGUUACUCGCAGAAUAAGCACCGGCUAACUCUGUGCCAGCAGCCGCGGUAAUACAGAGGGUGCAAGCGUUAAUCGGAUUUACUGGGCGUAAAGCGCGCGUAGGUGGCUAAUUAAGUCAAAUGUGAAAUCCCCGAGCUUAACUUGGGAAUUGCAUUCGAUACUGGUUAGCUAGAGUAUGGGAGAGGAUGGUAGAAUUCCAGGUGUAGCGGUGAAAUGCGUAGAGAUCUGGAGGAAUANCCGAUGGCGAAGGCAGCCAUCUGGCCUAAUACUGACACUGAGGUGCGAAAGCAUGGGGAGCAAACAGGAUUAGAUACCCUGGUAGUCCAUGCCGUAAACGAUGUCUACUAGCCGUUGGGGCCCUUGAGGCUUUAGUGGCGCAGCUAACGCGAUAAGUAGACCGCCUGGGGAGUACGGUCGCAAGACUAAAACUCAAAUGAAUUGACGGGGGCCCGCACAAGCGGUGGAGCAUGUGGUUUAAUUCGAUGCAACGCGAAGAACCUUACCUGGCCUUGACAUACAGAGAACUUUCCAGAGAUGGAUUGGUGCCUUCGGGAACUCUGAUACAGGUGCUGCAUGGCUGUCGUCAGCUCGUGUCGUGAGAUGUUGGGUUAAGUCCCGCAACGAGCGCAACCCUUUACCUUAUUUGCCAGCACUUCGGGUGGGAACUUUAAGGAUACUGCCAGUGACAAACUGGAGGAAGGCGGGGACGACGUCAAGUCAUCAUGGCCCUUACGGCCAGGGCUACACACGUGCUACAAUGGUCGGUACAAAGGGUUGCUACUGCGCGAGCAGAUGCUAAUCUCAAAAAGCCGAUCGUAGUCCGGAUCGCAGUCUGCAACUCGACUGCGUGAAGUCGGAAUCGCUAGUAAUCGCGGAUCAGAAUGCCGCGGUGAAU
rnacentral:rRNA from 1 species